CAGUCGAACGGCAGCGCGGGGCAACCUGGCGGCGAGUGGCGAACGGGUGAGUAAUAUAUCGGAACGUACCCAAGAGUGGGGGAUAACGUAGCGAAAGUUACGCUAAUACCGCAUACGAUCCAAGGAUGAAAGCAGGGGACCGCAAGGCCUUGUGCUCCUGGAGCGGCCGAUAUCUGAUUAGCUAGUUGGUGAGGUAAAGGCUCACCAAGGCGACGAUCAGUAGCUGGUCUGAGAGGACGACCAGCCACACUGGAACUGAGACACGGUCCAGACUCCUACGGGAGGCAGCAGUGGGGAAUUUUGGACAAUGGGCGCAAGCCUGAUCCAGCAAUGCCGCGUGAGUGAAGAAGGCCUUCGGGUUGUAAAGCUCUUUUGUCAGGGAAGAAACGGCAGUGGCUAAUAUCCAUUGCUAAUGACGGUACCUGAAGAAUAAGCACCGGCUAACUACGUGCCAGCAGCCGCGGUAAUACGUAGGGUGCAAGCGUUAAUCGGAAUUACUGGGCGUAAAGCGUGCGCAGGCGGUUUUGUAAGUCUGUCGUGAAAGCCCCGGGCUCAACCUGGGAAUUGCGAUGGAGACUGCAAGGCUUGAAUCUGGCAGAGGGGGGUAGAAUUCCACGUGUAGCAGUGAAAUGCGUAGAGAUGUGGAGGAACACCGAUGGCGAAGGCAGCCCCCUGGGUCAAGAUUGACGCUCAUGCACGAAAGCGUGGGGGAGCAAACAGGAUUAGAUACCCUGGUA
rnacentral:rRNA from 2 species